rnacentral:rRNA from 1 species
AUUGAACGCUGGCGGCAAGCCUAACACAUGCAAGUCGAACGAGUGGCGGACGGGUGAGUAAUGUCUGGGAAACUGCCUGAUGGAGGGGGAUAACUACUGGAAACGGUAGCUAAUACCGCAUACCAUCGGAUGUUCCCAGAUGGGAUUAGCUAGUAGGUGGGGUAACGGCUCACCUAGGCGCCGAUCCCUAGCUGGUCUGAGAGAAUGACCAGCCACACUGGAACUGAGACACGGUCCAGACUCCUACGGGAGGCAGCAGGGGGGAAUAUUGAGCAAUGGGCGCAAGCCUGAUGCAGCGAUGCCGCGUGAAUGAAGAAGGCCUUCGGGUUGUAAAGUACUUUCAGCAGGGAGGCGUUAACCGCAGAAGAAGCACCGGCUAACUCCGUGCCAGCAGCCGCGGUAAUAC